rnacentral:rRNA from 1 species
UUAAUGGAGAGUUUGAUCCUGGCUCAGGACGAACGCUGGCGGCGUGCCUAAUACAUGCAAGUCGAGCGGGGUUAGUUAGAAGCUUGCUUCUAACUAACCUAGCGGCGGACGGGUGAGUAACACGUAGGCAACCUGCCCACAAGACAGGGAUAACUACCGGAAACGGUAGCUAAUACCCGAUACAUCCUUUUCCUGCAUGGGAGAAGGAGGAAAGGCGGAGCAAUCUGUCGCUUGUGGAUGGGCCUGCGGCGCAUUAGCUAGUUGGUGGGGUAAAGGCCUACCAAGGCGACGAUGCGUAGCCGACCUGAGAGGGUGAUCGGCCACACUGGGACUGAGACACGGCCCAGACUCCUACGGGAGGCAGCAGUAGGGAAUCUUCCGCAAUGGGCGAAAGCCUGACGGAGCAACGCCGCGUGAGUGAUGAAGGUUUUCGGAUCGUAAAGCUCUGUUGCCAGGGAAGAACG